rnacentral:rRNA from 1 species
GACACCCUGAAAUUCGAAAGGGGUGCGAUUCAGUUGCGUCCGAUGCCACGGCGCCUUCCACGUGACCGGCCCGCCCCUCCGCACCGGCUGGUAAACAGCAGGUCGCGCGUCGGGCGUGGGCCGGGUGGACCGGCGAAAGCGUGGCGUCGGCGACAAUGCACUUCCCCCCUAGUAGAAAUGCCGCGACCCGUCGGGCGCCAGGUCUCAGGGCCCGAGCAGGCAGCACGCUGCGUCCCGGCGCCGCAAGGCGUCGGGCGCGCGGACUCUCGGCCGACCCGGUCGGCCGCCCGACGGGAUCUCACGGAGGAGCGAAUCCGCUCGCGACGCAGAAAUGCGUCUGGGCGAGCGUCCGAACGGGCGCCGAUGGGCGAGGUGCGUCGGCGAGGUUCGCCCCGAACCCGCCGCGCCACCUCUCGUUCCCGUUCGGUGAGCCCCGGUUCUCGGACCGGAUGCACUCCAGUCGGCGGCCAGUGCGUUCGGGUGUUCUCCCGACCCGUCUUGAA